rnacentral:rRNA from 1 species
UGGGGAAUAUUGGACAAUGGGGGCAACCCUGAUCCAGCAAUGCCGCGUGUGUGAUGAAGGCCUUAGGGUUGUAAAGCACUUUCACUGGUGAAGAUGAUGACGGUAACCAGAGAAGAAGCCCCGGCUAACUUCGUGCCAGCAGCCGCGGUAAUACGAAGGGGGCGAGCGUUGUUCGGAAUUACUGGGCGUAAAGGGAGCGCAGGCGGUUCAUUAAGUUAGGCGUGAAAGCCCCGGGCUCAACCUGGGAACUGCGUUUAAUACUGAUGAACUAGAAAACAGGAGAGGGUAGUGGAAUUUCCAGUGUAGAGGUGAAAUUCGUAGAUAUUGGAAAGAACACCGGUGGCGAAAGC